CAGUGCAUGGAAGUGAACGAGAACGAUUCGUUCAUUUAAAAGAUUCGUUCUGAAACACCGAUUCGUUAACAGCUCUAACUGUGAUCCACUUCGAGACAUUUUGCUAAAUGUUUUGGAUACAGUCUUGGUUACCGUUUUUCCGUGAAAAAACUUAAAACUGGCGUUCACAGCAGACCGCAGAACCUCACCAGUGGAAACUUUUUAGUCACGGAAAUAUUGUUCUUCUGGGUUUCUGGUUUUGGAUAAUUUGCACUGUCCCAGCCAAUGUAGUUUCAGUGGUUCGCGGUUCUGUAUAAGUUGUUAUCAGAACCGCCGUUUUAAUAUGUUUUGAAGCAUCUGCUUUUAUACGCUGGCCGAUCACCUCGUGCGAACCUGCCAACGCCUUUACUCUGGCUUCGUUAUUCUUCAGGCUGCAGGAAAAUUACUACAACGUUCGGUAUUAAAGAUUCUUAUUAAUCGUUUUAUAAACAUUUCGCAAAAUGGGUUGCACGUUAAGUGUUGAAGAUAAAGCAGCGAUGGAGAGGAGUAAGAUGAUUGAUCGGAACCUGCGAGAGGACGGAGAAAAAGCAUCCAGAGAAGUCAAACUACUGCUGCUCGGUGCUGGGGAAUCAGGGAAAAGUACAAUAGUUAAGCAAAUGAAGAUCAUUCAUGAAGAUGGCUACUCAGAUGAGGAGUGCAAGCAGUAUAAAGUUGUGGUUUAUAGCAACACUAUUCAGUCCAUCAUCGCCAUUAUCAGGGCCAUGGGCCGCUUAAAGAUCGACUUUGGGGAUCCUGCAAGAGCGGACAAUGCUCGGCAGCUCUUUGUGCUCGCCGGCACUGCAGAGGAAGGAGUCAUGACCCCUGAGCUCUCUGGGGUCAUCCGCCGGCUGUGGAAGGACGAAGGAGUGCAGACGUGUUUCAUCAGAUCACGAGAGUAUCAGCUCAAUGAUUCAGCAGCCUACUAUCUGAAUGAUCUGGAUAGGAUAUCCCAGCCCACCUACAUGCCCACUCAACAAGAUGUGCUGAGGACUCGAGUCAAGACCACUGGCAUUGUAGAAACACACUUCACCUUCAAAGAGCUCUACUUCAAGAUGUUUGAUGUUGGUGGCCAGCGUUCAGAGCGGAAGAAAUGGAUUCAUUGUUUUGAAGGCGUCACUGCUAUUAUCUUCUGUGUGGCACUCAGCGACUAUGACCUGGUGCUAGCUGAAGACGAAGAGAUGAACCGUAUGCAUGAGAGCAUGAAGCUUUUUGACAGCAUCUGCAACAACAAAUGGUUCACAGACACAUCCAUCAUUCUCUUCCUCAAUAAGAAGGAUCUGUUCGAGGAGAAGAUCAAGAGAAGUCAACUCACGAUAUGCUACCCAGAAUACUCUGGAACAAGCACAUACAAGGAGGCAGCGGCCUACAUCCAGUGCCAGUUUGAGGAUCUGAACAGAAGAAAGGACACAAAGGAGAUCUACACACACUUCACUUGUGCCACAGACACCAAGAACGUACAGUUUGUGUUUGAUGCGGUCACUGAUGUCAUCAUCAAGAAUAACCUCAUAGAGUGUGGCCUCUAUUGAAGCAUCAUCUGUCUGCUAAGAACAUAGAACCAUACGGAUAAAAAAAAGCACAGACCAGUGGUGAAAAUCUUGAAAUCAUUAAAUCUGUUAACCCUAAAUGUGUUGUUCCUGGUUUUGUCUGGUGGCGAAUGAACAAGAGAGACUUCCUCCCCACUGCAUGCAUUUUUCACGCUAAAUGCGGUACCUAUGCCCAUGGACAAUUUUUCCCCAUCCGUUCUUAAUGACAGUCUGUUAUGGACAUUAUUUUUUCUGCCACUUCCUUUUAGUCAUUAUUUUAUUGCCAAUACAGCUUCAUUCUGUUCAUUUCCUGUUUCCUUUGUAGGUAUUACAUGACACACCACUAUGCAUAGACCAUAAUCCGCAAUAGAUGGUAAUAUGUGCCUAUGCUAACCUCCACUGCAUCAAAGAUCUUUGUUUUUUCAACACUGCAAAGUACAAACAAUACAUUCCUGAAUGGUGCAGAAAUAAUGACCCUCUGUUGGGUCAAGAGCACUUGGGAACAAAUGCCAUGAAAACAUGAACAUGAUUGCCAGAUUUGCAUUCUUGAUAAGUAUAGAUUUUUCUAAGACUUGUUUGAUGUGAUUGUUUAAUCCUGUGGAUUUCAGUAUUUUAAAACAAACUGACACAAUGUGAUCUGGUUUGUAAUACCUGUAUUUAAUCUGAAAAGAGUUGACAUCAAGUUUGAUGUCCAUAAAAUCUUGCUCCCAGAACAUGCCAAACAGCCAGCAUGUGCAAGACAGACAUGAUCCAUAUAUUAUGUAAAAAGUAUGGUAUUCCAGUGCUGGUACAUUCAUGUUCUCAGUCUGGAUUCAUGCAACAAUCUGUGAUUUCUUUUCUAUAUCACUGUUCUUUAUUUUAUUGAACUAUUUCAGCUAUUUGAAACAUCAAAAUGCAAGUGAAUAACUAACAUUAAUUAAUGAUGGCACUGAAUCACUAAUAUGCUAAUAACUUGGUUUGUUUCGUUUUCUGAACACCCUUCUGUUGAGUAUUAGUUAAAACCUGUUUUGUUUUGUUUUUGUCUUUUCUGAUCAUGUGGAACUGUCCAUAGUACACGUCACUAGUACAAUGUCACCAGUUGCUGCAGUUUUGAGAAAAUACAUAUAUAAUCAAAUGACCUUUGUUUAAGGAAACGUAUAGUAUAUACAUUAUCAUGAUCAGAAAUUAACUACAAGACACGAGUUGAAAAUAAUAUACUUUUAUUUUUAAAUGGAUUCAAGAUUAUCUUUUAAUUUUAGUCUUCGAUGUUCAAACGGUGAAGACAAAUAUUUACUAAGAAUCAUACCUAAACAUAUUUUAUUUGUCUUGUUUUAGUGACACUGUGUAUCUGGUCUAAUACCUCAAAUGUGCAAUUGCCAUCUUUGGCUCUUUUAUUUCCUACUAUUCCCAUUGUUUCUCUGAUUGUGCCUGUGGCUCUAAAUGUUGUAUAUUUGUGUAGUCUCACGACUGUUAGAUAUCUUUACUACUCAUUUUAGCUGUCAUAAAGACACCUCUUUUUUUAUUAUAUAAUACUCUUAGCAAAAAAGUGUUUUGUACUGUGGUUCAUUCAAAAUUAGCUCUGACACAAAGGGUCAGUGUUUGAAAAUCCCAAUUAAAACAAUGUACGGUCAGUGUUUUGUGAAAGUGCGCAAUUACAGUAGAGCUAAUGGCCAGCCAUUUGCAGCACAUAAUAGUAAUUCAACACCAGCAACCAGUGGAAUUGAUGCAAGUCUUUAUUUCAUGUGCCUACAUUUACAUUCCAGAACAUCUCCACAAAUUCAGACCUCAGGUUUUAAACAAAGCAACAGGCCAUUCUAGAAUUUUCACUUGUUACUGUAAUACUGUAUCACAAAUCUAUAGAUUUAUGUCUCCAUAUAUAUUUUAUAUUGAAUCUUUUUUUUCCCCUACUCUUAUUUACAAAACAUACUGCCCAACUGUGUUUGGGGCUGAAAAGAAACAUCUUUCAUAUAUUGUGUGAGCUGGUUGAAUUCAAACAAUCACGUCCUGCUGAUAUGCAAG